GCCAGGCUCAGUGGCGCAUGCCUGUAGUCCCAGCUACUCGGGAGGCUGAGCUGGGAGGAUCGCUGGAGCCCAGGAGUUCUGGGCUGUACUGUGCUAUGUCGAUCAGGCGUCCACUCUAAGUUUGACAUUAACAUGGUGACCUCCUGGGAGCAGGAGAACCACCAGGUUCACCUGGGGCGAACUAGCCCAGGUCAAAAAUGGAGCAGGUCAAAACUCCUGUGCUGAUUAGUAGCGGGACUGUGCCUGUGAAUAGCCACUGCACUCUAGCCUGGGCAAUAUAGCAAGACCCCAUCUCUA
rnacentral:SRP_RNA from 1 species